rnacentral:misc_RNA from 1 species
GAUGAAGAACGCAGCGAAAUGCGAUACGUAAUGUGAAUUGCAGAAUUCAGUGAAUCAUCGAGUCUUUGAACGCACAUUGCGCCCCCUGGUAUUCCGGGGGGCAUGCCUGUCCGAGCGUCACUGCUGCCCUCAAGCACGGCUUGUGUGUUGGGCCUCCGUCCUCCUCCCGGGGGACGGGCCCGAAAGGCAGCGGCGGCACCGCGUCCGGUCCUCGAGCGUAUGGGGCUUCGUCACCCGCUCUUGUAGGCCCGGCCGGCGCUUGCCGACACAUCAAUCUUUUUUCCAGGUUGACCUCGGAUCAGGUAGGGAUACCCGCUGAACUUAAGCAUAUCAAUAAGCGGAGGA